rnacentral:rRNA from 1 species
GCAUAUCAAUAAGCGGAGGAAAAGAAACCAACAGGGAUUGCCCUAGUAACGGCGAGUGAAGCGGCAACAGCUCAAAUUUGAAAUCUGGCCCUAGCGGUCCGAGUUGUAAUUUGUAGAGGAUGCUUUUGGUUAGGUGCCUUCCGAGUUCCCUGGAACGGGACGCCAGAGAGGGUGAGAGCCCCGUACGGUUGGACACCGAGCCUCUAUAUAGCUCCUUCGACGAGUCGAGUAGUUUGGGAAUGCUGCUCUAAAUGGGAGGUAAAUUUCUUCUAAAGCUAAAUACCGGCCAGAGACCGAUAGCGCACAAGUAGAGUGAUCGAAAGAUGAAAAGUACUUUGAAAAGAGGGUUAAAUAGCACGUGAAAUUGUUGAAAGGGAAGCGUUUGCGACCAGACUUUUUCCAGGCGGAUCAUCCGGUGUUCUCACCGGUGCACUUCGCCUGGUUUAGGCCAGCAUCGGUUCCCUUAGGGGGAUAAAGGCCUGGGGAACGUAGCUCCUUCGGGAGUGUUAUAGCCCCUAGCGUAAUACCCUUCGGGGGACCGAGGAACGCGCAUCUGCAAGGAUGCUGGCGUAAUGGUCGUCAACGACCCGUCUUGAAACACGGACCAAGGAGUCGAACAUUUGUGCGAGUGUUUGGGUGUUAAACCCUCACGCGUAAUGAAAGUGAACGGAGGUGAGAGCCCUUCGGGGUGCAUCAUCGACCGAUCCUGAUGUCUUCGGAUGGAUUUGAGUAAGAGCAUAACUGUUCGGACCCGAAAGAUGGUGAACUAUGCGUGGAUAGGGUGAAGCCAGAGGAAACUCUGGUGGAGGCUCGCAGCGGUUCUGACGUGCAAAUCGAUCGUCAAAUCUGCGCAUGGGGGCGAAAGACUUAUCGAACCAUCUAGUAGCUGGUUACCGC